rnacentral:lncRNA from 1 species
AGAUGUAUUAUAUGAGACAAGUAAGAUUAAGUUUUUUUUUUAAAGUUUUUAUUUAAUACCUUGAUUUAUUUUUAUGUAGUGCUGAGGAUCAAACCCAGUGCCUCAAACGUGUUAGGCAAGUGUACUACCACUGAUCCACAACCCCAGCCCCUAUGAUUAGGUUCUAUAGAGGCAGACUUUGAACAUACUGUUCUGAGAAAGCUGGGAGUGGGAGUUUCUGUAAGAAUAGCAUAUUGUCAAAUUAUAAAAUUAUAACUCCAAAUGCUACAUAUAUUUAGAAAGUUCAUGUUUUUAGCCAAUACUAAAUUGUAUUUCCUUUCUUUCCCACAUAGGCCCAAAAGAAGUUUAAUGCAAAAGAAGCAAAACAAAACGAAUUAGAAUAUUGCAGACUUACUGAAACUCUUGCAGCUGCCAAGGAGAAAGAAUUUCAGGAUUAUGCCAGAGAAGUAAUUAAACAUGAAUCUGAAUCAACAAAUAAAUUUAUUUAUCCUCUUGUAAAAUCUGCACAGGAAAGACCUGGAGGUGGCCACGGACCAGCUUUUAUGGGGAGAGGUGGAUUAAGACCAAGCUAUCAGGCAAAUGAUAUUACUGGAGUCCAGCUUCCUUUUUAUAAUUCUCAGGGAUCAAAAUAUAAUAAUUUUCAGAAGUCUAAGGGAAGAUUAGGUUUUACAUGGUAGAAAAAAUAAUUUUUAAGAUUGAGAAGACUGAAGUGGUAGCAAAUGAGCUACAAAUGUAAAUGGACUAUAUUCUUAUUAUUUAAUAAAUCUGUCAUUCAUCUCAAUACAAUUAUACCUGAUUUGAUUCUUCACAAAAUAUUUCUUUUCUUUUUUGGUAUUGGGGACUGAACCUGGCACAAUAUUUCCUUUGAGUAUAUAUAACCCUAAAGGUAACUGAUUGCAAUUCCUUUUUUAAUUAUUAAAUACACAAAAUUUAUUUAAAAUGUGUAUUCAAUAGCAUUAAGUAUAUUCGCAAUAUUGUGCAACCUGACUAUUCAUUGCUCCAAAUGGAAACUCUGCA